GCCAGUGCGUACCUCCACUUCUUAAGCCACUGCUGAGCAAGAGAGCGAGCUGUAAACACAGCAGCGGUUGGGGAGACAGGAGAAAGCACCAAAGCAGGGUUAUAAGGCCAGUCACCAGAGGCCGUAGAGGGGUAUUGGAGAUGGAGCUCCCACUGAGAUGCAGCGCAAUCUCUCACCGCACAGAGCUGUAAUAGUGGAGAGAGACUGCUGCAUGUAGCGUUGACCCGUUGCCAAGGGAGCCCCAAUCACCCUUCCACAAGGCAGGUGAAAGGAUGCUGGCUGGUGAGAGGUGGUCCAGGGGAGUGUAGGCGGGGCCGGCGGUGAUUGAAGCCUAGAAGCCUCCCAGAGACAGUGAAAGUGGCUGGUUGUAUUACACAGUCUGUAGUAAAGACAGGGCGGUCGCCAGAAAGCAUCCAAUCAGAGAGUCGGGGGAGUGGCCAGCAGAAACCUGAGUCAGAAGGAAGGAUGAGACAGCAUAGGAAGGGCCAAUGGAUCAAUAGCACAAGAAUGAAACAGAUUAUAUCUCUAUAAUGUUCACAUUCCCAAACAUGUUAAUGCUAGAAAUUAUUUUGUGGUGUGAAAGAGCUUGGUAAAGUCCCAAAGGGUACUAAUAGCAUUUGAUACAAUGUAUUGAUGUUCCCUGGCUUGUCUCUUGAGGCCAGCUGUCUAUUUCCAAAAUAUCGCAAACCAUUAAGAAGUGUGAAGAAAGGUCAAGAUUACAUUGUCAGAAUUUUUCUUUCCUGGUUCAGAAAGGUGAUGAUUAGGGUUAAGAUAGAGUAUAUUGCCAUUUAACAGACAAAGAGCAUUCUGUGAAUGCUUUGUGAUUAAAUGGAAAGGUUUUUAUUUCAAUUGCUUUUCCUUUGGCUGUGUUAUAAGAGUAUGAGAAAAUCAGGACUUGUUAAAAUCAGCUGGUUGCAUUUCUUUUUGGUAGCUUGAGUUGCUGUAACUUGAAGAAAAAUGCAGAUACAUAUUUCCAAAUCCCUAUAAAAUAUAUCUUGGACAACAAUAUAUAUUGUUCAUUUCCUUUAUCACCUAUGCUUUGCAAGCAAAAAAAUAACAAAAAAGCAGACAAUGUACAAAAUAAAAAUUCAAUAAAUAGAACUAUGAUUAAAAUGUU